GUUAAGCGACUAAGCGUACACGGUGGAUGCCCUGGCAGUCAGAGGCGAUGAAGGACGUGCUAAUCUGCGAUAAGCGUCGGUAAGGUGAUAUGAACCGUUAUAACCGGCGAUUUCCGAAUGGGGAAACCCAGUGUGAUUCGUCACACUAUCAUUAACUGAAUCCAUAGGUUAAUGAGGCGAACCGGGGGAACUGAAACAUCUAAGUACCCCGAGGAAAAGAAAUCAACCGAGAUUCCCCCAGUAGCGGCGAGCGAACGGGGAGGAGCCCAGAGCCUGAAUCAGUGUGUGUGUUA
rnacentral:rRNA from 1 species